GCCAGGUGUGGUGGCGCACGCCUGUAAUCCAAGUGUCAUGGAGGCUGAGGCUGGAGGAUCAUGGGAGCUCAGGAGCUCUGAGCUGCAGUGGUCUAUGCUGAUCAGGAGUCCUCACUCAGGAUGGUAUCGAUAUGGUCUUUCUGGGGGAGCCUGGAACAACCAGGUUGUCUAAGGAGGGGUGAACUGGCCCAGGUCAGAAAUGGAGCAGGUCAAAUCCCCAUACCGCUCAGUUGUGGGAUCGCACCUGAGAGUAGACGCUGAAGCACAGCCUGAGUAACACAUGAGACCCAGCCUUUU
rnacentral:SRP_RNA from 1 species